rnacentral:rRNA from 1 species
GACGAACGCUGGCGGCGUGCUUAACACAUGCAAGUCGAACGGAAAGGCCCUGCUUUUGUGGGGUGCUCGAGUGGCGAACGGGUGAGUAACACGUGAGUAACCUGCCCUUGACUUUGGGAUAACUUCAGGAAACUGGGGCUAAUACCGGAUAGGAGCUCCUGCUGCAUGGUGGGGGUUGGAAAGUUUCGGCGGUUGGGGAUGGACUCGCGGCUUAUCAGCUUGUUGGUGGGGUAGUGGCUUACCAAGGCUUUGACGGGUAGCCGGCCUGGGAGGGUGAACGGCCACAUUGGGACUGCGGUACGGACCAGACUCCUACGGGAGGCAGCAGUGGGGAAUAUUGCACAAUGGGCGGAAGCCUGAUGCAGAAACGCCGCGUGCGGGAUGACGGCCUUCGGGUUGUAAACCGCUUUCGCCUGUGACGAAGCGUGAGUGACGGUAAUGGGUAAAGAAGCACCGGCUAACUACGUG